UGCUCUUCACGGACCUCUCUGUUCUUCAUAAUUUUAAUAUGACAGCCAGACCUGUACCGUGGGUGAAUGAAGAGGUCGAGACUUUUCUGUCUAUGGUGGUGGACCAAAGAAUACAGAGGGAGCUGGACAUAGGAAGUUUAUCAGGAGGUCUCAGAGCGGAUGGCCGCUCACAUAUACAGUAGACUGUAUAUAAAGAGGACAGAAGCAGUGUAGGGAGAAGCUGAAAAAGCUCAAAAAUGACUAUUGGUCCACCAAGGACCACAGCGGCCCGCAUGGGUCAACCAGGAGGUGUUGGAAGAGGUUUAAUGGAAGCUAUUUACUGGCACCGCACCGACGAGCAACAGGAGGGAGACUCAGCUGCUGCAUUAUUGGAGACGUUCGAGGACGAAUCCCUUUCCACAUGCGAAGCCUCCUCCACCUCCGUCAUGGAGCCCCCAGCUCCCCUGCCUCCUCUCCAGCACCAGCUUCAGCACCAGUACCAGCUCGGACACCGACACUGUCAACAUCAACCUCCAGCACGUCACACCAACCUCUAAUAACCGAAGUUACAAGAAGGCUGAAAAAUAAUGUUCCUGCAUAAGACACCAGCCCUGAUCUGACGGGUGAAAGUCCUCUGUUGACCCACAUCCACCCUCCUGCCUCCUUAUGUGAACUUUGUGGCUCCUUCAAACUGCAAACCUUCACUACUGUGUCACAGGGGGGAAUGGAUUGGACAACUCUGGGAUAAAAACUGUUUUUCCAUCUGAAAGUUGGAGUUCUGAUGUUUCUGUACCAUUUACCCAAAGGAAGCUGAACAAACAGUCCAUUUCCCAGGUGGGUGGGGUCAGUGGGGAUACCAUUUUGGAGUCCAGGUCUGGAAGAGGACUUCCUACAAUCCCCUGUACUGUUUUCACCACCCGGGCUAAGUCCUCGCUGCCGUACCACACUGUUGCACAGAAACAGAGGAUGGUUUCUAUUGUGGCUCUAUAGAAGUUUGCCAGGAGCUGAGGGGAGAAACCAGCAUGUUUCAGCUUCCUAGGGAAGAAGAGUGUUUGUGUGUUCAGGGAUCAGGUCAGGUCAGAUGUAAUGUGGACGCCCAGGAACUUGAUGCUGUCAAGAAGUGUUGAAUGCAGGACGUGGAGAUGACUACAGACAUAUUAAACAACUAGAAUCACACUCAGAGAGCACAGAACUCUGCCAUAACAACUGCUUAACCUUCCACCCACCCAUCCAUUAUCUAUACACCGCUUAGUCCUCACUAGGGUCGCGGGGGCUGGAAUCUAUCCCAUCUGACUUAGGGGACAAAUUGCACAGGUUCACACCUACGGACAAUUUAGAGUUACCAAUUAACCUGAGCAUGUGUUUAGACUGUGGGAGGAAGCCAAAGUACUCUGAGAAAACCCACGCAUGCUACAGGGAGAACAUUCAAACUCCAUGCAGAAAGAUCCCGGGAAAGCCGGGACGUGAACCAGGGAUCUUCUAGCUGCAAGGCGAAUGUGCUAACCACUACACCACUGUGCAGCCCUAAAUAAAAAACUAUGCAUCUACAUUUAGUACUCCACCUCUACAUCAGGUUUCAGUAAAUUCAGCCAAGCAUUUUUUGACAAACAGAUACUGAAAAGAUUGAUCUCUCUGUUGAUAGAGGAAUAAGUUUGACAUGUCUGUAGUGAUUUCUGACAAGGAAACAAUGCUGACUGGUAACUGUAAUUAUUUCAUGUUUAAUUUUGAAAUAUUAGUGUUUGUGCUCCUUUAAUGUCCUCAGUGAAAUGUUGCUCAUGUGUCUGAACUGUGAACCUCCCUGAUAAGAUGAUGCAACUCUGCACCGACUCUUGGUAAUGUGCCAUUUAAACAUAGGCCUGAGCAUGACUAUAGGUGUCAGGAUCCAAUAAAAUAAAACAUAAAUGGCAAGCCAUUUACUGCACGUGAACAUUCUGUACGUCUUCACAUGUGCACACCGACACUUUCAUCGUAAUGCACCAUCCUGUCUCAGCUGUGUUGGCUGGAGUCAUGUUUGAGCAUGAGCAGCAGCUAUUCUUGUAGCGCUCCGCUGCAGAAGUGUGCAGCUGUAAUGCGACGCUCCCGCCUGUGCAGCCACGCCAGGUCCACGCCAGCAGAGCGUGAUCAGCUGGAGGGAGGAGGAGGGGGAGGAAUGGGAGUGUGUGGUGAGGAGGAAAUAUAAGGAGAGGCAGGGAGCUGAGAGAGAGAGAGAGACAGAGAAGUGGUGAUGCAGGACUAAAGAGCCUUUCAGAGCUCUGA